AGGCUCUUUGUAAAGGAAUAGACCGUUAAAUUAAAAGUGAAAGAAGUUACUCUUUACACAGUAAGUUGGUUAAAAGUCGGUUAAUAUUUCACUGGUGGAGUUUCGUGUGGCUAGACUUGUUUCGACACUGGGAACUGGAGCAAUGCUUCGAAAAAAAUACCAGAUAAGGUUUGUUGAGCAAGGCGAAAAAUAGGCCAAAAAAACUAGCUAACGUGUGUUUAGCUACGUCGUCUGAGGCGAAAAAUAUUUAAAAGAAUGACCAGCUAACGUUUUAUUUUAUUUUUUUCAAACGUUAGCUGGUAAAUUUUGAAGCAUAUUUUCAAACGUUAGCUGGUAUUUUUUAAAUCUGAGUAACGUUAGCUAACGUUACAGCUAAAAGUGUGUUCCGUAGUAAAUGGAGGAGGAGGAGGAGGAGGAGGAAGAAGCCCUUCAGAACCACUGCAGAAGAAUGAUUUCUCGUGUCCGAAACAAACGGCACCCCCGGUCCUCCUCCUCCGAGAGGGGGAGACACGCGCAGCACCGAGGAGCCAAUGGGAGGGAGAGGAGGACCGGAGUUGUAGCCGGAGACCACUUCAGAGAUCUCCGGGAAUGUAACGUUGACCUCCCGUUCCCAUACUCCACGUCCUCCCCCAAUCUCAUAUGUCAAGGUCCCGAAGACCUGGCCGCCCCCCCUUUACUCCUCUUAAUGCUGAAGCUCAAAACGUUCAACGAGAAGGUGAAACGGGCUGCAGAGGAGGAGCUCCACGACCCCGCAGUCUGCUGUGUGUGAGCGACUACAGGCUUCUCUGGCCUUGGAAAGUUUUAUCAGGAGGAAGAAGACACAACUGCAGUUCCAAGCCCUGAAGGGCAGACUGAACACACACUUUAACUAUGGAGAGUGUGCACGUUGGGGGAGUUUGGGAGAAAUCUCCCAAAGCCUUUUGAUGCCCACCACUGGAUUUGGGAGGAACAACUUGGUUUGUGCGGGUCACAGCAACCUAGGGUUGCCGUAGCAACAGCUAAGGAACGUAGAGUUACCCUAGCAACAGAUGAAAUGAGGGGUUACCCUGACAAAAACGCUACAGGUACUCAUUUAACGAGCCCUCACUGUGCUUUUCCAGACAGAUAGCUGCAGACCUGAUGGGCACAGUAUUAAUACAACGUAAGGUAUAAUAUUGUGUCGCUCUCAAAAAUAUUCCUAUCUCUAUAUUUUGACACACAGACUAAACCCGCCCAUUUGCCCAAUACAUACUUAUCCAUAUGCGUCCUUGGUUACCCAUCAGCGCAGUUCUAGCUGUAUGUAGUGGUGUGAUCAUAAACACAGCUGUGUUUAUGAUCACACCACUUAAUGUGCAAAAAACAAGUCUAGCCUUUGUUUUUUAGUGUAAAAAUGACCAUGUUAAUAACAAGGUUAGUACAAAACAUCUAUUUAUUUUCUUAUCACUGUAUUAAAGUUAAACACACAACACCACUCAGAGCAGAUGAGUCUGGCCUUUUCACUUGAACAAUGUAAACAUUAAAAGAUUGUGUUUCUUCAAUUAAACCUAUUUGUUUUUUCAUUGGCACAAAAAUAAUACACAACAGACAGCCAUGGAAGCGCACAUGCAUUGCAAAAAAAUUAUAAAGUACAGUACGAUAUCUAAGGCAAAA